GGAAAAGGCUAAAGGGAUGAGGUGGGGUUAGUAGGACAAGGCUAAAGGGAUGAGGUGGGGGAGUAGGACAAGGCUAAAUGAAUGAGGUGGGGGAGUAGGACAAGGCUAGAGGAAUGAUGUGGGGGAGUAGGACAAGGCUAAAUGAAUGAGGUGGGGGAGUAGGAAAAGGCUAAAGGGAUGAGGUGGUGGAGUAGGAAAAGGCUAGAGGAAUGAGGUGGGGGAGUAGGACAAGGCUAAAGGGAUGAGGUGGUGGAGUAGGAAAAGGCUAAAGGGAUGAGGUGGGGUUAGUAGGACAAGGCUAAAGGAAUGAGGUGGGGGAGUAGGACAAGGCUAGAGGAAUGAGGUGGUGGAGUAGGACAAGGCUAAAUGAAUGAGGUGGGGGAGUAGGACAAGGCUAGAGGAAUGAGGUGGGGUAGUAGGACAACGCUAAAGGAAUAAGGUGGGGGAGUAGCACAAGGCUAAAGGAAUGAGGUGGGGGAGUAGGACAAGGAUAAAGGAAGGAGGUGGGACAGUAGGGCAAGGCUAAAGGGAUGAGGUGGGGGAGUAGGGCAAGGCUAAAGGGAUGAGGUGGGAAAGUAGGGCAAGGCCAAAGGGAUGAGGUGGGACAGUAGGGCAAGGCUAAAGGGAUGAGGUGGGGGAGUAGGGCAAGACUAAAGGGAUGAGGUGGAGGAGUCAGUGCGACAGGUUUAAUCCCCUCCUCUAUCUCCAUCCACAACACCCUAGCAAGCUGCAAGCCUACUAGAUGGUAAUAGGCACUCAAGUUGCCCCUAGGGGACGGUCUUGAAGGCAUCUCCCGACAUCCUACGGACCUGGGCAAACGUUGAA
ensembl:lncRNA